rnacentral:rRNA from 1 species
UACGUAGGGUGCAAGCGUUGUCCGGAAUUAUUGGGCGUAAAGAGCUCGUAGGCGGUUUGUCGCGUCUGCUGUGAAAACUCGGGGCUUAACUCCGGGCCUGCAGUGGGUACGGGCAGGCUAGAGUUCGGUAGGGGAGACUGGAAUUCCUGGUGUAGCGGUGAAAUGCGCAGAUAUCGGGAGGAACACCGGUGGCGAAGGCGGUUCUCUGGGCCUUACCUGACGCUGAGGAGCGAAAGCGUGGGGAGCGAACAGG